rnacentral:rRNA from 1 species
AUACAGAGGGUGCAAGCGUUAAUCAGAUUUACUGGGCGUAAAGCGCGCGUAGGUGGGUAUUUAAGUCGGAUGUGAAAGCCCCAGGCUCAACCUGGGAACUGCACUCGAUACUGGAUGCCUAGAGUAUAGUAGAGGGAAGUGGAAUUUCCGGUGUAGCGGUGAAAUGCGUAGAUAUCGGAAAGAACACCAGUGGCGAAGGCGGCUUCCUGGACUAAUACUGACACUGAGGUGCGAAAGCGUGGGGAGCAAACAGAAUUAGAUACCCCAGUAGUCC